rnacentral:sRNA from 1 species
UUUCAACAUCCCUUUCUUCGCUUUUUGUGAAGCAUGAUACAUAUCGACUAAAUACUUUGGUAUACGACACGUCCUUUCAUGCCGCAUCUGUGGCAAGUGCUUUUCAACAUGCCUUUUAUUAACAUUACCAACAUCAUUCACUUGAAGGUUUUUGUUCGAUUUUUCCGUGUUGA